rnacentral:sRNA from 1 species
GCUGGGAGCGGUGGCGCACGCCUGAGAUCCCAGCAGCUUGGGAAGCUGAGGCAGGAGGAUCUCGAGUUCAAAGCCAGCCUCUGUGAGACCCUGUCUCUA